AUACGAAGGGGGCAAGCGUUGUUCGGAAUAACUGGGCGUAAAGCGCACGUAGGCGGAAUGUUAAGUUAGAGGUGAAAUCCCAGGGCUCAACCCUGGAACUGCCUUUAAUACUGGCAAUCUAGAGAUCGAGAGAGGUGAGUGGAAUUCCGAGUGUAGAGGUGAAAUUCGUAGAUAUUCGGAGGAACACCAGUGGCGAAGGCGGCUCACUGGCUCGAUACUGACGCUGAGGUGCGAAAGCGUGGGGAGCAAACAGGAUUAGAAACCCGAGUAGUCC
rnacentral:rRNA from 1 species